rnacentral:rRNA from 1 species
UACGUAGGGGGCUAGCGUUGUCCGGAUUUAUUGGGCGUAAAGAGCGUGUAGGCGGCCAGGUAGGUCUGGUGUGAAAACUCGAGGCUUAACCUUGAGAUGUCAUCGGAAACCAUUUGGCUAGAGUCCGGAAGAGGAAAGUGGAAUUCCUGGUGUAGCGGUGAAAUGACGCAGAUAUCAGGAAGAACACCAAUGGCGAAAGCAGCGUUUCUGGGACG